GGGCCUGUAGCGCAGUUGGGAGCGCGCAUGAAUGGCAUUCAUGAGGUCACCGGUUCGAUCCCGGUCAGGUCCACCA
rnacentral:tRNA from 1 species